rnacentral:rRNA from 1 species
ACUGUUUAUCAAAAACACAGCACUGUGCUAACACGCAAGUGGACGUAUACAGUGUGACUCCUGCUCGGUGCCGGAAUGUUAAGGAAGCUGGUUAGUCCUUUAGUGGGCAAAGCUAGUGACCGAAGCACCGGUAAACAGCGGCCGUAACUAUGACGGUCCUAAGGUAGCGAAGUUCCUUGUCGGGUAAGUUCCGACGUGCAUGAAUGGAGGAACGACUGGAGCACUGUCUCCACAACCAACUCGGUGAAAUAGAAGUGGCGGUGAAGAUACCGCCUACCCGCAGCAAGACGGAAAGACCCCGUGGACCUUUACUGCAGGCAUAUAUUGGUCAUGGAUGGAUACUGCGCAGGAUAGGUGGGAGGCUUUGAAGCUGAGUUUUCGGACUUGGUGGAGCCAUUCUUGAAAUACCACCCUGUGCUAGUUUGUGGCCUAACCCCGAUUCCCAUGAAGCUGGGCGGGGGACCGUGUAUGCUGGGCGGUUUGACUGGGGCGGUCUCCUCCUAAAGAGUAACGGAGGAGCGCAAAGGUUAGCUCAGCGCGGUUGGAAACCGUGUGUAGAGUGUAAGAGCACAAGCUGGCUUUACUGCAAGACAUACAGGUCGAGCAGUUACGAAAGUAGGCUCUAGUGAUCCUGCAAUCCCGUGUGGAAGGGUUGUAGCUCAACGGAUAAAAGGUACCCCGGGGAUAACAGGCUUAUCGCUCCCGAGCGUCCAUAGCGGCGGAGCGGUUUGGCACCUCGAUGUCGGCUCAUCGCAUCCUGGGGCUGAAGGCGGUCCCAAGGGUUGGGCUGUUCGCCCAUUAAAGCGGUACGCGAGCUGGGUUCAGACCGGCGUGAGCCAGGUCGGUCCCUAUCUGCUGUGGGCGUUGCAUUAUUGAAAGGAUCUUUUCCUAGUACGAGAGGAUUGGAAAGGACUCACCCCUGGUGUGCCAGUUGGACCGCUCGGUCCACCGCUGGGUAGCUAAGUGAGGCAGGGAUAACCGCUGAAAGCAUCUAAGCGGGAAGCCCCCCUAAAGAUGAGUAAUGCAUGUUCUUUAGAAUGAGAGACCCCCGGAAGACUACCGGGUUGAUAGGCCGCGUGUGUACGCAUAGAAAUAUGUUUAGCAAAGCGGUACUAACGGUCAAAGA